UUGGUAGCGAAUGGACAUGUUACAACCACGAUUUUGACAUAAACGAACUGCUGCCUUUUUGCGCAUCUUUCGAGCAGUAACCUGCACCGUUUAUUGAAAGGGGGCCUCAGUUUUGAAUGUCGUCUGCUGAACGUUGCUCUCUCGGCACAAAUCGACUACAAAUAAAUUGGACGGCAGAUGGAUGACGACGACGUAUUCAUAACUCUGCUGGUUGUCACACAGCUACAGUAUUAUUGAGAAUUGUAGAAAAUCUUUUUCUCCAAUACGACACGAACAUGGACCAGGAGGCAUUAAAAUUGGCUUCAGGAUUUACUGACUGUUGUGACAAAUGCUGCAAAAAAUUCUCUGCCUUUGUGCCCCACCUCCCAAAAUGUUCUAUCACAAGAGGAACACAUCUUGAUACAUAUCCUCCUGAUACAAGCUCUUCUGAAUAUUUUUUCAUUUCUUUUCUUCUCUUGUCGUGGCAGCAAGACCAUUUUCCUUGCUAGCCCUCUUCAUAAUAUCCUGACAGACAGACAGACAGACAGACAGACAGACAGGAAGACAGAC